GACGAACGCUGGCGGCGUGCUUAACACAUGCAAGUCGAGCGGAAAGGCCCCUCCUUUGGUACUCGCUCGACGAGCGAGCGGGUAACUCACGCGUGAUCUGCCCCUCACUUACGGAUGGCUACCUUCAAGAGACUUUCGUUCCUACCAUGUACGUGUUUCUCCUGCCUUGUGGUGGUAGGUUAGUCGGUGCGGGAUGUGCUCGCGGCGUAUCAGCUUGAUGGUGGGGUAGUGGCUCACCAUGGCUUCGACGGGUAGCCGGCCUGAGAGGGUGACCGGCCACACUGGGACUGAGACACGGCCCAGACUCCUACGGGAGGCAGCAGUGGGGAAUAUUGCACAAUGGGCGGAAGCCUGAUGCAGCAACGCCGCGUGAGGGAUGACGGCCUUCGGGUUGUAAACCGCUUUCAGUACCGACGAAGCGUAAGUGACGGUAGGUAGAGAAGAAGCACCGGCUAACUACGUG
rnacentral:rRNA from 1 species